rnacentral:lncRNA from 1 species
UACCACCCAGUUCCAGGAGGUUUCCGAUCACCGGAUAAGGCCUCGGUCCUGGUGGAAGCCCUUUGCGUCUUCCACUGGAAAUGAAACUUAAAGCCAUCACCCAAACCAAUGUGAACAAGAGCCACAGUAUGCAGCUAAUUAACAAAUCCAUCUUUGAAUAGAAGUUUGUAUUUUGAUUUCUCUUUAUUUGAAGCUCUCAUUAACACCGUCCCCUUCACUUUCUUUUAUAGUAGCUGGAUUCUGCAAGUUGCCAUUUCAAGGUCCAACGAAACAUGAGAUUUGAAUUGGAGUUGUUCCCAGUUCCCACCCAAUUGAUUACCGACAGUAAUUACACGACCUACGAGACUAGCGAUGGAUGCAGAAAAGUCAAAUAAGGGC